CGGGGCGGAGUCGCCGCUGCUGGGCUUCCAGGACCCAAGUGUUCGGGUUUCUUUACUAUUCAGCCGCUGUCACGGUUUUGUUUCUUCGCUGGAAGUACAACGAUGAGCUCUUAGGGCAACGAAGCCCCCCUCAAAUGCAGAGUAGUCGGAGGUGCAGCAAUUCAGUAGAACAUUUUCUAUGAGUAAGGGGAAGAGUCAGAAAGGAUUCUACAAAAUGCCUAGGACCUAACGUCAUGAAGUACAAGAAUGCUGGCCCCACAGUCCCUGCCAGCCUAACGCACAGGAACAAUCCAGCCCACCUCAGCAGACUGUGAUUUGAGGAAAUACAAGAAAGGCUUCCGUAGGCCUCCAAAGCACAUGCCAAAUACACUUGUCACUUUGAUCCCUCAGGUGGAAGAUAGGAAUGUUCUUCUCUGAAGAGUCUUGAGUAGUCUAAGAGACCAACAUAAAGAUACCGACAAAGAGAACCCCCAGUGAUAGGUCCACGGGCAUGCCCAGAGCUUCCAGUCAGUUUUUUCAUGCAACUUUCCUCGGUAGGAUCAGGCAUCCUGGGAUCAUCUAAAGUGAGAAGAAAGCUUGUAACAUUAAUGACAGAGACCAGAAGAGAUGAACAGAAUGGCGGGGGGAGGUGUGAGAGGAGAGGAGAAGAGCAGGGGAAGCAGAGGGAGGAAGGGAGACUUGGAAGAAAUGUGGUUGCUUGAAUUGAACUAACAGGGAGAGAUGAGGAAUCAAACAAGGAAAAACUAUCAAUAACAUUCUCAAAGUAAUAAAGGAAGAUACCGUUGACAUGGAGCGAGAAUGGUAUUUACUUCUAAAAAGCUGCAUUUAGAGAACAAAAAAAGGAACUCAUAGAAAUCAAGGAUAUAAUCACAGAAAUUAAAAACUAAUACAGAAAGGAUGGAAAAUAAAUUUAAGAGUGUUUCCUACAGGAUAAUGCAAAAAAAUGAGGUAGGGAAGAAAGUUUGAGGAAAAAUGAUUUUAAAAGUUAGAUGUGUUAUGUACAUGUACCAAGGGAUGUAAACAUUAUGUAUUGCAAACAUUAAUAAAAAAAGGGCUUAAGAAAUGGAUGAGGGGGAACAGGAUGAGGAAAAGGAAAUAAGAUGUAUUAUAUAUGUGUUCCAAUUCCCAGGAAAGUUAGCACGCACUACAAAUAUGUACAUACUAAUAAAAAAUGAGAAAAGUUAGAGGACCUGUCCAGUGAGUCCAACAUGUGAAUAAUUGGCAAUACUAAAGGGAGGAAGACAUUUAACUGAUACUCUUUAUAAAUGCAUAGAUUUGAAAGACAUAAGUCUCCAGAUCGAAAGGGUCCAUUAAAUAUAAGGACAAUGAAUGAAAAUAAACUCGCUCUAGUGGACAUUGUUGUCACAUUUCAGAACUCUGGUUUCAAAGAAAGCCCUAUAAUACUCAAUGAGAAAAAACAAAAAAUUCAUACGAAGAAUCAGGAAUCACUGUGGCAUUGCACAUUCAGCAACAACACAGGCAUAGGGGCAGUGUCUUCAAAAUUCUGGGGUAAACUGUUCCAGCCCAGAAUUCCGUUCUGUCAGUCAAGUGGGAGGAUAAGUCACUUCAGAUGUGCAUGGCGUUGGAAAGUUUUGCUACUGUGUGCUCUUUCUCAGGAAACUACUAGAAGAUGUGUUCCACCAAACCUCAAGGAGCAAACCAAGGAGAGUAAAAAGAUCUCAACAGCAUUGGUAAUAGAGCCUGCCACAGAGAAAGGUGAAGAAAAUUCCUAGGAUGGGGUCAAAUAGAGUCUCAGGAUUCCAACAAGCCGGGAGAACCAUGAACCAGUGUAGAUGAAAGGGCUCCAGGAGAGAAUUCCUGAUUGUAACUGAGAAGUGGUAUCUAAUAUGUGUGAGCAGACUUUUCGGAAGACAAAGGAAAUGUCCGAUGUUGCAUUAGUGAAGAAUACAAAGCAAACUAAAAAACAGACAAACAAAAAAACUAGAUCAUUAACACCAAGAAUUAUAAAAUGUUACACUGCAAGAAUAAGUAAUAGUAGUGUACAAGGCUUAACUGUACAUACCAUUUAUAUAACAAUAAUGAUGUAAGCUGAAUACUGAUCUACUUAAAACCAUAGUAGCUGCCGGGUGUGGUGGUGCACGCCUGCAAUCCCAGCACUUGGGAGGCUGAGGCA